GAAUAUUGGGCAAUGGGCGAAAGCCUGAUCCAGCCAUGCCGCGUGUGUGAAGAAGGUCUUCGGAUUGUAAGGCACUUUAAGUUGGGAGGAAGGGCAGUAAGCGAAUACCUUGCUGUUUUGACGUUACGGACAGAAUAAGCACCGGCUAACUCUGUGCCAGCAGACGCGGUAAUACAGAGGGUGCAAGCGUUGGUGGGAAUUACUGGGCGUAAAACGCGCGUAGAUGGUUCGUUAAGUUGGAUGUGAAAUCCCCGGGCUCAGCCUGGGAAAUGCAUCCAAAACUGGCGAGCUAGAGUAGGGCAGAGGGUGGUGGAAUUUCCUGUGUAGCGGUGAAAUGCGUAGAUAUAGGAAGGAACACAGUGGCGAAGGCGACCACCUGGGCUCAUACUGACACUGAGGUGCGAAAGCGUGGGGAGCAAACAG
rnacentral:rRNA from 1 species